AGUGAACGCUGGCGGUAGGCCUAACACAUGCAAGUCGAACGGCAGCACAGUAAGAGCUUGCUCUUACGGGUGGCGAGUGGCGGACGGGUGAGGAAUACAUCGGAAUCUACUUUUUCGUGGGGGAUAACGUAGGGAAACUUACGCUAAUACCGCAUACGACCUACGGGUGAAAGCAGGGGAUCUUCGGACCUUGCGCGAUUGAAUGAGCCGAUGUCGGAUUAGCUAGUUGGCGGGGUAAAGGCCCACAAAGGCGACGAUCCGUAGCUGGUCUGAGAGGAUGAUCAGCCACACUGGAACUGAGACACGGUCCAGACUCCUACGGGAGGCAGCAGUGGGGAAUAUUGGACAAUGGGCGCAAGCCUGAUCCAGCCAUACCGCGUGGGUGAAGAAGGCCUUCGGGUUGUAAAGCCCUUUUGUUGGGAAAGAAAAGCAGCAGGUUAAUACCCCGCUGUUCUGACGGUACCCAAAGAAUAAGCAACGGCUAACUUCGU
rnacentral:rRNA from 1 species